UGGGACGUAGCUCAAUUGGGAGAGCGCCGGUCUCCAAAACCGGGGGAUGUUGGUUCGAGUCCAACCGGCUCAG
rnacentral:tRNA from 1 species